UUGAGGGAACAGCAGAGGAGAUGUGAUUGAACGAGGAGUACUGAAGAGCACCAAGCAUGAGAGGACAGAUCUUUCUGAAUGGAAUGUGUCCUGGCUGCAUUACAUCCUCCUCUUCAGGAUCCCCCACGUUAGCCCUGCAGGGAUCCACAGGAGAUUGCUAGGGACUCAAGUACGAUCAUUCAGAAGGGGAACAUUUACUCCCAAGUAAUAUCAAGUACCACGCCAGAAGGCGAGCAGUGAAAAAGAGCACUACCUCUAGGAUGAACAUAUAUGUCACUAAUUUUAAUGUAACUUGGUUAUAAUAAGAAAAGGAAAAGAGAAAAUACGUAUGCUAUAUCUUGACCCGCUAAACUUAUUAUCCUAUUUAGUGUUUUUUCUAACCCUUUGUAUCUCCUUUACCAGGGAUGAUUGAUUAAAAACCUAUAUAUACACUCUGCUUUACAAGCAUUGACUUAUUUACCAUCGAUGCUUUGAUGCACAAAGUUUCUCUAUUUAACAAAAACUCUCCAAAAAAUCAAUACUUCUUUCUUCUGGGAAAUUGCCCAAAGAAAUGUCCCCACUGAGUCUUCUAGGAGCUUCCAUUAUGUUUCAUACCUCUCAUGUAAAAUAUCUCAUUCACUUAUUCAACAAAUAUUUAUUGAAUGUCUACCAUGCACCAGACACUGAACCUACCAGGUGCUGAAAUUACAAGAGUGAAUAAGACAGAAUAUGGACCCGGCUCUCACAGAAAUUACAUUCUAGUGAGGAAGACCAAAAGUAAACAAGCUCAAACUCUCCUUAAAGUCUCUAAAGAGAUGAACAGGAUGUUGUGGUGGAGAUUAAUAAUGCAACUGGAAGAAGAGGGCCUGGCAGAGGGAGAGAAGUCAGGAAGGGCCAUUUUGAGUGGGUGACUCAUGAUCUAACACUUGAAGGACAAGAAGAAGCAACCGUUCAAAAGACUGGACGAAGAUCAUCUCGGGCAGCAGGAAUAGCUGGUCCUCUUCUGCCAGCCCUGAUGAACCAUCCAGAAACACACACUGCACCUUGACUCAGAAACAUGGAGCAGAAAUUAUACAGAUCAUGAAGACAAAAUUCAACCUCAGUGCUGAAUGACAAGCUGUUUCAUAGAAGCAUCAGCUUGGCUGUCCGGGAUGUUCUCUUCAGGAGCAGGCUAUGUCACCAGCAGAAAUAAAUCUGUGAAUGCGAUUGAAGCCUCCAGAGAGGUUACCGUGUCAUGUUCCUAUCAACUAAUGUCAAAUUUUUAUAUGCAAAUAUUCCCAGUUAACAUGACUGAUGUUUUUCUAGGCUGGCUGGCUAGUCACUGCCUCUUUUGAUUGAUGUUCAUUAAAUCGAUGACUAAAUUAGCAUUAUUAUUAGAAAGUAUUUUAAAGUUCAAUUUGAUAGGGAUGUUAGCUAUUUAGUUCCUCUUAAUCUUUUCAAAGACCAUGUUAGAAUAUUUGGCAGAUAUGUUUCCAAGGCAGAGUCAAGACCUAGACCUGAUAACCUGAUGAGGUGGGUACACAUCAAACCUUUAAAAGCAUUUUUUUCACUUUUUUUUUUAUUAAUAUU
rnacentral:lncRNA from 1 species